AUGAUUAUGACAGCCAUUGCGGUGACCAGGUGUCUAAAGAUUUGUCAAAUUAUUAAUCAUAAAAUUAGAACUUUUCAUUUGUGGAUUUUCAUUGCAAGUGCGGGGAUAUUUAGUUUCAUCAGUAACAUCCCUGUCCUAUUUGCCUUCGGAGUUGUUGAAGUAUACAAGAAAAAUGUUACUGGGUACAUGUGUAAGGAAAUCGAUGAUGAGGCACAUAUACUGGAUAAAGGAAAUAUGAUAUUUAUAGGACUUUUUCAUGGGGCAAAUAUUCUUUUAUUAUAACUGUCUCGUAUGUGUUAAUUGCAAUCCGAAUCUUCAACAUCCACCGCAGACAAAACACACCCAAAAUGGAUACCACCGGAUCAGGAGAGGUUAUGCAAUCGAGUCCGACUGUCAAACGGAGGCCGAAAUCUUUAUGGACGUAUCGAUUGACUCUGAUGUUUUUCACAAUGCAACUGUGCAUGUUAAUAGCCUUUAUACCCCCUUUUAUAAUAAUAACACAGGAAAUGGCUGAUCGCGACUUUUGGGAAAGGAAACGUGACGAUCUUUCAAAGAACGCUUUUUUAGCAAUGCGGAUGCUUUACUUUACAAAUGCAGUUGUUAAUCCGUUCAUAUAUGGAUUUUUUGACCAUGCAUUUCGAAGAAAACUUGUUGAUAUGGCUUGCAAAACAGAAUAAAUAGAUUAGCCCG
rnacentral:sRNA from 1 species